GUGCAAUGGCGUGAUUUUGGCUCACUGCAACCUCUGUCUCCCGGGUUCAAGCGAUUCUCCACCAUCAGCCUCUUGAAUAGCUGGAAUUACAGUUAUAUUUGAUUUGUGAGACUCUAGAAAACAGAACUUGGAUCAGUGGAUGAAGAUACGGGGGAAAGACUCUACAGGAAUUAUCAGGAGGAUAUGCUGCUAAAUUUCAUAUGGCUGAACAACUUGAAUUUUGAAGGGAGGAGGAAUAAAGCAUGAAGUAUAUGCCACACUUAGCUGAGUGCUUAUCGAUCUCCACAAUGUCAGUCUGCUACCACUGCUAGCCUGCCUGUGUAUUCCAAGGUAGGCAGUCUCGUAAUUUCAUGUAAAAUGUACUCCGAGAAACUUGCACAACAGUCAUAGAUGCAAAAGAAAGACAUUGAUUCAAGUAUUUUAAGAGUUCCAUUCUAAGGAAUCAAGUAGAUAUUCCCC
rnacentral:lncRNA from 13 species